rnacentral:rRNA from 1 species
AUUGAACGCUGGCGGCAGGCCUAACACAUGCAAGUCGAACGAGUGGCGGACGGGUGAGGAAUGUCUGGGAAACUGCCUGAUGGAGGGGGAUAACUAAUGGAAACGGUAGCUAAUACCGCAUACCAUCAGAUGUGCCCAGAUUGGAUUAGCUUGUUGGUGGGGUAACGGCUCACCAAGGCGAAGAUACCUAGCUGGUCUGAGAGGAUGACCAGCCCCACUGGAACUGAGACACGGUCCAGACUCCUCCGGGAGGCAGCAUUGUGGAAUAUUGCACAAUGGGCGCCAGCCUGAUGCAGCCAUGCCGCGUGUAUGACGAAGGCCUUCGGGUUUUAAAGUACUUUCAGCGGGGAGGCGUUACCCGCAGAAGAAGCACCGGCUAACUCCGUGCCAGCAACCGCGGUAAUAC